GUCUCGGGAAAAUGCUUUUAUUGGGCCCCUUGAAGGACCUUAAGUUGUGGCCACGCCCACAACACGAUUUGACCAAUUGCGCUCACUUCCUUUCGUCCUGAGAGCCUACUGGCUGGCUUUCAAUGGGCACGUUUGCAAGAAUACGGUGAUCAAUUGUUUAUCUGAUAAGAUCUGGCAGCAGGAAGGGCUCUGAAUAACCAGCGCAACAUGGCUGCCUGGGAGCGCCAGGCAGGAGAGACUGAUCGAGCCACGGCAGGUGUCCGAGCUGCUCUUCUGAGUGCAUUUCACGUCCAGCAAUGAUGAGAAAGAAAGCUGUAAACAUCUCAGUACCAGAAACAUCACAGGAGAAGAAAAGGAUUUUAUCCAAACACCAUCUCCUGGACACACUCUGGCCUUUGCAGCUGGAAGCAGCAAAAUUCAACAGUUGGACUCUUUACUAGUCCUAAAAUAAAUAUGAUCCAUGAGACAAAAUGCCUUCCUGUUGCUCAUGCAUCCUCAAAUAAGCUUCAGAUCUUCAUUUUAGGGUGGAAAUCAGUUCUUAAGGCUUGUUGGGGACCGAAAACAAGCAUGCAAGUAUCCUUGCUAACAUGUCCAGCGACACACAGCCAGUAUUCAGGAGUAAAGAAGCAGGCAAAAUUGGCCACAAUGUGUUGUGGCCAGCCCACAACACAUUUUAGAUUUAACAUUAAUAUGCAUGUUUAGAGUUAACCUAUAGAUUUAAUGUUUAGCAUUUUAGAUUAAGAUUUAACAAAACAAAAUUUGACUCACCCAGCAUUCAAACCUGGGUCACUGUUUCUAAGAUGAGGAUGACUAAGCCCGCUUCAUCACCACAGAUGGAUUGCAUAGGCUGGGUAAGCAUGUUUGAAAUGUUGGAAUAUGAAUUUUUUUCAGAUGAUUUCCUUUAUAAAUUUGAUGAAAGUCUGCUAAAUGUUAGAAAAACAUGCUAAAUAUAAAGAAAAUGUCUAAUAUUUUCCAUGAUAUAUUCACACUCAGUUCUUCAUAGCAUAAUGUGCAUGAGGAUUUCAAAUCUUAAAAAUGUCCUGCCUAAAGUCACUCUCAAUGCGGUGAUGUCUACAAGCAUGCAUAAAAAUUAAAUUAGAAAUGGGGUAUAAAAAAAGAAAUAUUUAGUGGAAAAUUAAGAAUAUUGAUCUUCAAAGAUGUGAUAAGCCAAAACAUUCCACCGGAAUUUAAAGCUCUAGCACAAACAGCUGUGUUUAAUCAUAAAACCAACCUCUAGAGGAGAGUCAGGUUCAUCCAGGAUGCUCUUCUCACUCUGUAUCCGCUGCAUGGUUCCUGUAGAAUUGGGGUCCAUUAUCAACACGUUCUGACCACCAGCUCCUCCAAACUUAUUGUCACUCUUUCUGGAGUCAGUGGUCCUGCACACCUCGUAGUUGUACACGUGUGGCAGAGUCCCUGUUCCCAAAGUGUCUGAGUAACGUGGAGGAUAAUAUGGAAUCACAGGGAGGUUGGAGUGAUACAGGAUGCGAGACUGUCUCCAUCUGUAGAUCUUGACUGAUAUAAUAACCACUAAACACGUGAUGAAGAGGAAGGAGACCACAGCCAGAGCCAAGACCAAGUAAAAAGUCAGGUUGUCAUUGUACUCCUUAUCGUGAGGAAAGUCAGUGAACUCGGACAGCACUUCAGGGAAGCUGUCCGCCACCGCCACGUUAACAAUGACUGUAGCUGAACGAG